GACCAGUGAUGUAUGGUAAUUGUCCGUACCAUUUGAGUAGCUUUUUAAGCUACAUUGAUGUUAUAUUUACCUUUAGUUUCUGAGGUCU